CAAAAGAAAGAAAAUUGGAGACGUGGCCUAAUACAUAUGUAUACAUGUAUAAUCAUGACACCUAAUGAGCUUUAAUAUCACAAAUUUUCACUCAUUUCCAUUAGCCAUAAUCAGUUUAAUUCCUUUCAACCACCACCGAACAUAAACCAAAAGGAAAGAAAAGAAAGAAGGCCGUGAGAGAGGGAAUGAAAAACCAUGGAAUCUUAAUCUUUCUUAGUUUGAUUUCUUGCGAUCCGUAACUUCAAUAAAAAAUUUAAUCCGAUAAAAGUGUUCGUAUCCUUCUCCUCUACGUGUUGGCGUUAUUUUUGUCCGGUAGAAGUUGACCGUGACGUAGCUCCUCUUCCUUUUGAGUUCGGCUAACUGGAGUUCUAGGAAGCACAGACGAUUUCUGACGCCUUCUCCUUCAGCAGCUCGGUCAGAAAGCUUCCCCGAAACUUUCGAUAAUUUUGAUUUCAUACGAAGUGACACAGGUUCGAAGAUUCAGUUAGAAGAUGCAGACGACUAGUAGAUUUACUUGUGAUUCCUGUUAUUUUUAUAGAGUUCCCUCGCCCUUGUUGCUUUAAGUUUUAUUUUAUCCAGAGGGAUAGGUAUUGUAUUUGAGUUUUAUAUUGAAUUCAUUUGUAUAGCAUUUAUUAUUAUUAAUAAUUGUGUGAUUUUAAUUAC